rnacentral:lncRNA from 1 species
AAGCAUAUAAUGGAUUUAGGUCUAAAGGGUCAGAGUCUGGUCCAGGUACAGCGGGAAUAAGUGGUGGAGUGAUAUAAGGUUCAGAUGGUUGAAUCACAGGUGGUUGGGUUUCAGAGGGUGUGGUGGUUGUUUGUGGUGGAAGUGAGGUUUGAUUUUCAGAGGAGAUGGUGGUUGUUUGUUGUGGAAGAGAAGUUCGGAGGGGAGAGGUUACUUCAGUUUGUGUUUGAGUUUGUGGAGCGAAAUUUUUAGCAUAAAUUUCAGCUAUUGU